AAUCCUACCGUGUUAUCAAGAAAAUAUAUUACAAUUCUUUCAUUUUAAAUUUUAUGUUUUCAUCAUUAUUCUACUUAGUAUCAAGAGCGUUUGUUUUUUUCGAUAAAUAAUGGGCAUAACUUUUCGAUUGUGGAGUUCCAUUUCAAACCUUUCAUUAAAGGAAAGGGCCUCCUUGGAAUUAUGGAUUGAUCAAAGGAGGUACCCGCAGAAGAUAAAGAAAAAAAAGCUUGGUAUGCUGACAAUGGAAAUAUUAUCACAUGGCUAGUCAAAUCUGUCUUUGUAGAUAUAGCUACGGAAUUGACAUUGUUUGAGAAAGCAUCAGAAAUGUUGAGUAAGCUACAUAAACUCGGUAACCAAAAAAAUCUGGCUAGAGAAUUAGAAUUAAAAACUACUUGCGGAAUCUACACAAGGUGAGAAAAAUGUUUGUUCUUUUUAAUCUGUAUUACGUACAUUAUGGACAGAGCAAGAUCAGGUUUUUUCUGCCUGCAUCCCUGUGGAUGGAUUGAACUUAGAAGGACUUCAUGGCUACAAAGAAAAGAACAAGGAUUGUACAAUUUCUAAUGAAAAUCAGGCCUGAGUCAAAGUAUUUGUGUGCUAAUAAUAUUAACAAUAAAAACUACAAGCUUUGUAUGUGGUAGUUUGUGAUGUCCUAGAAGAUACUCGAUUAAGUUCUCAAGCUUCUAUGGAGAACUCCCUUACAAUGGAAAUUGCCAUAGCUGCAUACAAAGAAUCAUCUUUCUCAAGCAACUCCAACAAGCCUAUUCAAUGCAAUCAUACAAGGAAAAGACUUAAAAAGACUAUUGAAAGGCUAUACAUCAAGGUGUGGAUGCAUUAAUUCUAACAGCAACAAAUGCAACAAUUAUUGGAAGUAGAUGGGUGUUUUCUAUCAAGAUAAAAGCUGACGGAUACCUAGAUUGAUACAAGACAAGAUUGGCAGCUCAAGGACAAAGCAGGAAUUUGGAAUUGAUUGCGAUGAAACAUUUUCUCCAGUAGCUAUGAUGACGACAAUAUGUAUAUUGGUAGCUUUAGAAGUUUGAAUUUACAUCAUAUGGACAUCAAGAAUGCUUUCUUGCAUGGAGACUUGUAUGAAGUUAUCAGGAUGAAUAAACCACCAGGUUACAAUUUUUUUUAAUCUAAAUAAGGUGUGUUUUCUUAAUAAA